rnacentral:rRNA from 1 species
GAUGAACGCUGGCGGCGUGCCUAAUACAUGCAAGUCGAGCGAACAGACGAGGAGCUUGCUCCUCUGACGUUAGCGGCGGACGGGUGAGUAACACGUGGAUAACCUACCUAUAAGACUGGGAUAACUUCGGGAAACCGGAGCUAAUACCGGAUAAUCUAUUGAACCGCAUGGUUCAAUAGUGAAAGACGGUUUUGCUGUCACUUAUAGCUGGAUCCGCGCCGCAUUGGCUAGUUGGUAAGGUAACGGCUUACUAAGGCAACGAUGCGUAGCCGACCUGAGAGGGUGAUCGGCCACACUGGAAGUGAGACACGGUCAAGACUCCUACGGGAGGCAGCAGUAGGGAAUCUUCCGCAGUGGGCGAAAGCCUGACGGAGCGACGCCGCGUGAGUGAUGAAAGUCUUCGGAUCGUAAAACUCUGUUAUUAGGGAAGAACAAAUGUGUAAGGAACUAUGCACGUCUUGACGGUACCUAAUCAGAAAGCCACGGCUAACUACGUG